rnacentral:rRNA from 1 species
UACAGAGGUCCCAAGCGUUGUUCGGAUUCACUGGGCGUAAAGGGUGCGUAGGUGGUGAGGUAAGUCGGAUGUGAAAGCUCGGAGCUCAACUCCGAAAUGGCAUUGGAAACUACCUUGCUCGAGGGUUGGAGGGGGGACUGGAAUGCUUGGUGUAGCAGUGAAAUGCGUAGAUAUCGGGAGGAACACCUGUGGCGAAAGCGGCGCACUGGACCACUUCUGACGCUGAGGCGCGAAAGCUAGGGGAGCAAACAGG